CAGCAGCCACGGUAAUACGUAGGUGGCAAGCGUUGUCCGGAAUUAUUGGGCGUAAAGGGCUCGCAGGCGGUUUCUUAAGUCUGAUGUGAAAGCCCCCGGCUCAACCGGGGAGGGUCAUUGGAAACUGGGAAACUUGAGUGCAGAAGAGGAGAGUGGAAUUCCACGUGUAGCGGUGAAAUGCGCAGAGAUGUGGAGGAACACCAGUGGCGAAGGCGACUCUCUGGUCUGUAACUGACGCUGAGGAGCGAAAGCGUGGGGAGCGAACAGAAUUAGAUACCCCUGUAGUCCCUGUCUCUUAUAC
rnacentral:rRNA from 1 species